rnacentral:lncRNA from 1 species
CUUUGUGUUUGGGAGUUGUAUGAUUUUGAUAGUAGUAUAAUUUAUCAAACUAUUGCCUUAUGGCUCCUAGCCCAUGUGUGUGUGUGUGUGUUUUGUCAUGUUUAGAGGUUUUUGGUCACGUUUAGUUUUGGCAGUAAAUGGUUACUGUAGCUUAACUUGCAAAUAUAGUUUUGAGGUUGUUCAUUUUGUUUCACAACGAUGACAUUAAAGGAGAAUAGUACUAAUAGUCCAGAAAUCUGGUAAUCCUGCAGCAGGAUUCUAUCCAGACUGUGCAACACUUUCUCUGCCAGAUAUUAAGGGAGGCUAACAGUGAGGUUAAAUUAAAUUCAGAAACCUGCGAUUGGGAAACCAUGCUAAACAGUGUGUGUAGCAGCCAGACGUCUUCGUUGAAAGGCUUCUGCUCACUGCCCAGAGCCGGGUUGUCUAAUGCAGCAUUAAUAACCGUAUCAGGUCGAGGGUGAAGAUUGAUCUGGAGGCUUUAGUACUGAUGCUCCUUUCUCCCUAUCUUCCUUGUCCUACUUCUUUUGAAUAAUGUUCACUUUCUCCUCAUUAUCAGGUCAAAGUUUCAGGAAAGUCCUAGAUGUAACAAAGUUCAGGCUAAAAAUUUUUGAAAUGUUAAGCUUAUGCAAGACAUUAAACUUUGUCAUACCAUCCCAGCCAAAAGUAAACUAAAACUCCAAACCUGUUGCAUAACCAGACGUGACAUCUGCAGAGCCGUCCUGUAGAAAUAAGCAAUAAACUACACAGUGAACAAGGAACAUAGCAGGUGUGGUCAAUCAGGAAGAGCUUUUUGAUACAAAUUGAUGAUAUUUUUACUUCUGGAACAAUCAGAGCAAACUCCAAGGCACUCAUGGUUACAAUUUGUGUGGCAGCACCUCUCAUUUCUGUAUGACAUUUUGGUUACUUAAUUAUUGGAACUCACCAUUCCAUAAAUCUGCGCUUGCCAUUUGCCUUCUGACUCCAAUUCCUGCCUCGUGCCUUCCUGCAACUCCAGCUCUCAGAUCUAGGCAAAUAUUUGCCAAUAAUUUUAGAGAUGAAGCUACAUGUGACUCUUCACUCGAGUGCUGAGUGACUACUAUCAUAGGCUACAACCAGUAAGCAGUGAAGCCUAGACAAAGAUCCGGAUACGAAGGAUACUACCCUGAAAAAAUUUUCCUCAGCACAUAUUGACUAUAUUUUGAAGGAAAAGGAGCAUAAUAUAACCUUUGAGUCCUGAGAAGAGCAAUUGCAGUCAAUGGACUUAAUGUCUUAAAUGGCUUUUAGUAUCAUCAUUGGUGGUAUAUAGAAAAAGGUUACAAAGCCUCUUUCACAGCUGGAACUUACAAAUUAAUCCUGUUCAGCAGCAUUCUCUCUCUGUGCUCACUAAUCAGCUCAUGCAGAGGGUGGCUGACGUUCAUCUCUUCCUAAUUAGAGGAGCACGUGCUGCAAAGCCAUCAUUCUGAAUGAGAGCAAUGGUGUUUACUCUGUUUCCCUCACCCUUCCUGCUUCAUUCACCGUUAAGCAACCCAUGACAAUGACACAGCUUGUCACACAGAGUAUGAGGAGAUGGAAUCACAACAUUUGGAGGUAGAUUGCUUGGAUUUGAGUCUAGGCCUUCAACUAGCUGUGUGACCUCGGGCACGUUACCUAAUCUCUCUGAGCCUCGGAUUCUCCAUCUGUAAACAGUUGUUCCAGUCGCUUCCUAAAUUCUGAUGAUUAAAUGAGAUAAUACAUGGAAAAGCACUACGCAAAUAUCUUUUACAAUUUUUAAUUGUUGAAAAUUUCAAACCUAUUCUAAGGUUGAGAGAAGACAGUUGUACCCUCAUGUGCCCAUCACCCAGCUUCAACAAUCAUCCAUUCACGGUCAGUGAUAUUCAUCUAUACUCCAACCAGUACUCUCUCUUGCCCCCAAAGGAAUCUUAUACAGCUAAUUCCAGAUGUCAUAUCAUCCCCAUGCUUACAUAUUUUAGUGUGUAUCUCUAAAAGGUAAAGUCUCUUUUUUAAAAGCAUAACCAUAAAGCCAUUAUCCUACUUAAAAAUUUUAACACAUACCUAGUCAGUGGCCAUUUCCCAGUUGUCUCAUAAAAU